GACGAACGCUGGCGGCGUGCUUAACACAUGCAAGUCGAACGGAAAGGCCCUGCUUUUGUGGGGUGCUCGAGUGGCGAACGGGUGAGUAACACGUGAGUAACCUGCCCUUGACUUUGGGAUAACUUCAGGAAACUGGGGCUAAUACCGGAUAGGAGCUCCUGCUGCAUGGUGGGGGUUGGAAAGUUUCGGCGGUUGGGGAUGGACUCGCGGCUUAUCAGCUUGUUUGUGGGGUAGUUGCUUACCAAUGCUUUGACGGGUAGCCGGCCUGAGAGGGUGACCGGCCACAUGGGGACUGAGAUACGGACCAGACUCCUACGGGAGGCAGCAGUGGGGAAUAGUGCACAAUGGGCGGAAGCCUGAUGCAGCAACGCCGCGUGCGGGAUGACGGCCUUCGGGUUGUAAACCGCUUUCGCCUGUGACGAAGCGUGAGUGACGGUAAUGGGUAAAGAAGCACCGGCUAACUACGUG
rnacentral:rRNA from 1 species